rnacentral:rRNA from 1 species
UGGUGGAGUGAUUUGUCUGGUUAAUUCCGUUAACGAACGAGACCUUAGCCUGCUAACUAGUCACAGUGAUUUCGAUCAUUGUUGGCUUCUUAGAGGGACUUUGUUGGCACUAAACACAAGGAAGUUUGUAGGCAAUAACA